GGGUGAAAGGGUGGGGUAAGAGCCCACCGCGCGACUGGCAACAGGAGCGGCACGGCAAACCCCACCGGGAGCAAAACCGAAUAGGGGCGGUGCGAGGGGAAACCCUCGAGGGCUGUUUCCGGCCCACCGCCCGGGUAGGUUGCGUGAGGCGCAUGGCGACAUGCGCCCAAGAUGAAUGGCCGCCACGUUCUCGCGCCGCAAGGCGCGAGGGCCAUACAGAACCCGGCUUACAGGCCAGCUGGCAUU
rnacentral:RNase_P_RNA from 1 species